UUCUAUUUUUUAUUUUCAUUUCUUUUAUUCAUCUCUUUUAUUCUGUUUUGUUUUUAAUUAAUAAAAAUAUUUUACUUAUUCAUAAAAAUACCAAAAAAUACUUUUUACAUUCUUUAAUGUUUUAUUUAAUUUAUUUUAUUUAAUGUUAAUACUUUAUUUUAAUUAUUUAUUUCAAGUGAUUCUUUUAAGCAUACUUUUUUUAUUUUUUUUUAUUUUCAU
rnacentral:lncRNA from 1 species